rnacentral:tRNA from 1 species
GCGAGUGUGGCCAAAUGGUAAGGCAUAGGUUUGUGGUUCCUUGAACUGCGGGUUCGAUUCCCGUCAUUCGCC